UCCAGCAACAAGCAGUAAAGAAAAGUUAGGUUUUCAACAGGUCCGCCACCAUAAGCAGCACUUGGAAGGAUCCUUAGAAGCUUCGUUUGCUUGUUUGCAUGACGAAGGAACAACAGUGAGAUUUAAACAAGUGGAGGAGGGGGAAACACAUGCCCUUGUUACAGAAUCAGCAGUCUGGGUUGACUAGUAGUGCUGGGACAGGGGCUGGAAGGUUCCUGUUGUUCAUAUUACAGAUGAGUGGAUGGAUACAAAUGUCGAUAUUCUCUUGCUUUCCAGAUGACACAAGCAACACCAGUAGGAGGGGCAAUUUUGAUUCUCUCUUGGUACUCCAAAACAGUUCUAAAUACAAGAGUUUUUGUUGUGCACUCACUCUACAAGCAGGAGAUUUUCUGCAGUCCUUAUAUUCACACAGUAUAUUCUGUCUAGAGGACAUCUUUGGUGGGAAAAUGGCACCUCCUGGUUUCAAGAGGAACUUACUGUUCCGGAAAAGAAGGACAGACUGUAUAAAUCACCACUAAAGAUAAUGAUGGGCGUGGCAUGGGCAUAAACAUGCCUGACCACAGAAGGAGUUCACCAAGACUAAAAAUUAUUUCCACUUACAGAAGCUACAGAAGAAUUUAUAAAAGGACUAGAAAUUGAGCUGGAUCAAGAAAGGUGAAAUUUAGAUGAAGGAAAGGCAAGAUAGUAUUAUAUUGAACGGAAUGUGGCAAAACAAAGUAUGCAAAGUAUGUAAAGAUGGAGAAAUGCACAUGUGUUAAGCAAUAUUAAUAGUUCCUACCUUCACCACUCUCCAUGCCUUCUACAAAAAUCCCCCCACAUUGGGGAAGAAUCCAGUACCGGCGUCUGUAACGAUCCUGGCCAAACAUCAUCGAACGCAAAGAGUGAGAAGCGUCAAAGAGCUUCCUUCUG